UGCNAGUCGAGCGGUAGAGAGAAGCUUGCUUCUCUUGAGAGCGGCGGACGGGUGAGUAAUGCCUAGGAAUCUGCCUGGUAGUGGGGGAUAACGUUCGGAAACGGACGCUAAUACCGCAUACGUCCUACGGGAGAAAGCAGGGGACCUUCGGGCCUUGCGCUAUCAGAUGAGCCUAGGUCGGAUUAGCUAGUUGGUGAGGUAAUGGCUCACCAAGGCGACGAUCCGUAACUGGUCUGAGAGGAUGAUCAGUCACACUGGAACUGAGACACGGUCCAGACUCCUACGGGAGGCAGCAGUGGGGAAUAUUGGACAAUGGGCGAAAGCCUGAUCCAGCCAUGCCGCGUGUGUGAAGAAGGUCUUCGGAUUGUAAAGCACUUUAAGUUGGGAGGAAGGGCAGUUACCUAAUACGUGAUUGUUUUGACGUUACCGACAGAAUAAGCACCGGCUAACUCUGUGCCAGCAGCCGCGGUAAUACAGAGGGUGCAAGCGUUAAUCGGAAUUACUGGGCGUAAAGCGCGCGUAGGUGGUUAGUUAAGUUGGAUGUGAAAUCCCCGGGCUCAACCUGGGAACUGCAUUCAAAACUGACUGACUAGAGUAUGGUAGAGGGUGGUGGAAUUUCCUGUGUAGCGGUGAAAUGCGUAGAUAUAGGAAGGAACACCAGUGGCGAAGGCGACCACCUGGACUGAUACUGACACUGAGGUGCGAAAGCGUGGGGAGCAAACAGGAUUAGAUACCCUGGUAGUCCACGCCGUAAACGAUGUCAACUAGCCGUUGGGAGCCUUGAGCUCUUAGUGGCGCAGCUAACGCAUUAAGUUGANCGCCUGGGGAGUANNNCGCAAGGNUAAAACUCAAAUGAAUUGACGGGGGCCCGCACAAGCGGUGNAGCAUGUGGUUUAAUUCGAAGCA
rnacentral:rRNA from 1 species